GGCUCAAUGGUCUAGUGGUAUGAUUCGCGCUUCGGGUUGUCCCCACACUUCAAAGGAGUGCUUGUGCGAGGUCUCGGGUUCGAAUCCCGAUUGAGCCC
rnacentral:tRNA from 1 species